GAUGAACGCUAGCGGCAGGCCUAAUACAUGCAAGUCGGACGGGAUAGGAGAGCUUGCUUUCCUUGAGAGUGGCGCACGGGUGCGUAACACGUAUGCAACCUACCUUUGUCAGGGGGAUAGCCUCUCGAAAGAGAGAUUAAGACCGCAUAACAUUAUUGAGUGGCAUCAUUUAAUAAUCAAAUAUUUAUAGGACAAAGAUGGGCAUGCGGAACAUUAGCUAGUUGGUAAGGUAACGGCUUACCAAGGCUACGAUGUUUAGGGGAUCUGAGAGGAUCGACCCCCACACUGGUACUGAGACACGGACCAGACUCCGUACGGGAGGCAGCAAGUAAGGAAUAUUGGUCAAGUGGG
rnacentral:rRNA from 1 species